rnacentral:rRNA from 1 species
GAUGAACGCUGGCGGCGUGCCUAACACAUGCAAGUCGAGCGGAGAUACUUGAAGGAAGUUUUCGGAUGGAAUUUGAGUAUUUUAGCGGCGGACGGGUGAGUAACGCGUGAGUGACCUGCCUUCCACAGGGGGAUAACGUACCGAAAGGUACACUAAUACCGCAUGAGACCACAGCACUGCCUGGUGCAGGGGUCAAAGGAGCAAUCCGGUGGAAGAUGGACUCGCGUCCGAUUAGAUAGUUGGUGGGGUAACGGCCUACCAAGUCAGCGAUCGGUAGCCGACCUGAGAGGGUGAUCGGCCACAUUGGAACUGAGAGACGGUCCAAACUCCUACGGGAGGCAGCAGUGGGGAAUAUUGGGCAAUGGGGGAAACCCUGACCCAGCGACGCCGGGUGAGGGAAGAAGGUUUUCGGAUUGUAAACCUCUGUUCUUGGUGAAGAGGGAAAGACGGUAGCCAAGGAGGAAGCCCCGGCUAACUACGUGCCAGCAGCCGCCGUAA